rnacentral:rRNA from 1 species
UUCGCAAUGCCCGAAAGGGUGACGAAGCGACGCCGCGUGGGUGAGGAAGGCCUUCGGGUUGUAAAGCCCUGUCAGGAGUUAAGAAAUGUAAGUGCGCUAAUAUCGCAUUUAUUUGACAAAGGCUCCAAAGGAAGCCACGGCUAACUCUGUGCCAGCAGCCGCGGUAAUACAGAGGUGGCAAGCGUUGUUCGGAAUUAUUGGGCGUAAAGAGCACGUAGGUGGGUUUGCAAGUCAGAUGUGAAAGCCUUCUGUUCAACGGAAGAAUUGCAUCUGAAACUGCAAGUCUUGAGUGUAGGAGGGGAGAAUGGAACUUCUGGUGGAGCGGUGAAAUGCGUAGAUAUCAGAAGGAACGCCGGCGGCGAAAGCGAUUCUCUGGCCUAUUACUGACACUCAGUGUGCGAAAGCUAGGGGAGCAAACGGGAUUAGAUACCCCGGUAGUCCUAGCCGUAAACGAUGGGCACUAAGUAGAGGGGUUUU